rnacentral:piRNA from 1 species
UGAAAUUGGGAAACUACUCAUUGAAUGUGAC